rnacentral:lncRNA from 1 species
AGUACACAACAAGAGCAUAUCAAACUUAAUGGAACAAAUGUGAAAUACCUUCUCAAUAUACCGAAAUGAAUUCCUACCACUACAAAAUUUUAUAAUUGUCAUUGAAAUUAAAAAUCCCAAAAAUUUAACAAUAAUUCUUAAGACUUUGAAAACGAAUGAGUGGGAAACAUUGAAACUUCCUACACAAAAUUCAAGUUCUUCUGGGUAUCUAAAAGUAUAAUAGCAGAUUAAGAAUGGGAUAGACUUCUUGGGCGACUGGAACUCCAAUGGCUGGGCGUGGCGCUUGACCAGGCUGACCAGGCUUUGGCAAAUCAUCCUGAAAAGAAAAAGGGCAAAAAAAGAAAAAAAAAAUAUAAGAGCCAAUGAAGAAAAUUUUCAAGUACGCGAGCACAAACGAAGACCAUAUAAAACUGACAAGCUUAACCAUUUUUCAAAUGCUACAGAUAUCACACAGCAAUUAUCCCAAGACCAAAAACACAUCCUCAAUUUGGGCUUUUAGUUCUCGUAAAACAAAGGAAAAAGCUACCACACAGAGACACAACACUGUCUCCUUCUUUUCCUCUUUCCUCCCGCACGCCACCCCCCCACCCGGCCACCCCCACCCUCUCUCUCUCAGGUUAACUCAGAAUUAUGCAUUUUUAACAGGCUGAAUCAAAAUAUUACCACUAGCAAGGAAAUCCUUAUGAUAAAGCACACUAGGUAAAAGGUCUAUCUGCCUACGUCUAUAACCCGUAAAUCACUCUAAAAAUCAAUAUGAACAGAGACCAUUAGCCAAAACCCUGAUUAAAAAAUCUCAAUAGAAACAUGAAAAAGAUACCCUGCGUCUCAUAAAACGCUUUGGUGGUUCACGGUUCCUGCGGUCAGUGCGUGAGCGAACCCUCACCACAUGCGAGUGAAUUGCACAGGAGACACAGUACUGCAUCUUUGCAUACAACUUAGGCAGAACAUAGUCUGCAUCAAAUGCAAAAGAUUCCCAUUAUUUUCCAUUCAAACAAUACAUAAUUAAUUACAAAAUAAGAGAAAUAAUAACAUGUGUAGCAGAUAUUUACUGUCAUAGAUGCAGGCAUCCUGCACGUCUCUAACAGCAGCUUGCUCAACAAUGUUCCUCACAAGGCAUAUUAAUUAAUUUUUAAAUGCAAACUUAACAUCAAUACAACAACUCUAGUCUAACUAUAGAUUUGACCAAUACAUCCGCAAAAUUUAUCAUGACACGAGUUUACAAAAAUAUGGAAGAAUUGAAAAAAUUAUUCUUCUUUCCCGUAAUGCCACACAAUUGCCUCAUUUGGGAGGGAAAAAUUCUCAAUGUUGUUCAUUUUUAUCAAAAUAAACAAAAAAAAAAAAAAACAGGGAAUCAUAUAAUACUAAUAAUAAAAAAACAGAUAGAAUUUUAAUUAAUGAAAGCGAUACAAAAAUAAAAACAAAAGUGUAUACUUUGGGGCAGCAUUUGCCGUUCCGACGCUUGAAGGUCUGCCACAGAAAAAAAAAAUAUAAUAAAUCAAAUUUAUAUUAAAUAAAAACAAUUCUUCUUUUUUCAAUAAUAAUAUUUUUGGAAAUCAGAAAGAUAAAACAUUUUCGCAAACCAUUCUGUUUUCUUCAAGGGAUGAUCUCCCCUUUCCAAUUUUUGACAACCACGCCUAAUCCAAUCAUCAUUUCUUCUGAAGUUGACAUUGCUGCAUGAGUAAAAAAGAAUGUUAAAAUUGAAUUAUUCAUUUGGAAGAAUAUCAUGACGCAAUUAAACAAAAACUGAAUAUUUUAUCUUUCGUACUCUCUCAAUAAUUUUGACUGCAUACUUUUUCUGAAAAAAAAAAAAAAAAAACUCAUAUCUAGAUUCAGUCACAAAGCCAAAUCUCUCUAAUCAUACGUCUAUAUUAAGAAACACAAAUAAGAGAUUCCAAGAACUUGUUAACACCCUUUUGGAAUAAUUGAUUCUGGAUUUUCAUACUUGGAUAAUGGCUUUUGCUUGGAUAUCUCUCCAAUCACUCAAACCCUUUCACACAAUUGAUUGAAUCUCACUUGCUUGAUUUAUAUUACAUCGAGAUUUUGAGCCUGGCAUGGUUAAGGAGUUUUAAAAGUGUAAAAAAUUGAGUGAUUGAAAAAUGGGAGAAACCUGUAGUGUAACUGUGGUACUGUGCCAAAGUUGCAUUCAGUCGUUGGAUGUCAGUGGAUCCUACUAAUCUAAGUGCAUCCAACGGCUGGAUACAACUGUGGCAUGGUACCACAGUUGCACCGUAGCCUGAUCCUGAAAAAUAAUAGAGCUGAAAAUGAGAGAAAAUUUAGAAUUAUGGGAAUUUUAUUGGGGAAGAAAAAGUAUUGUAAACUCAAUGAUGGGGUGAUUAAGAAAUAGGCCGAAUAAAAAAUAAAAAGAAUUUAAAUAUCAUCACUCAAAUUUAAUUGUAUUUUUAUUAAAAACAUUAACCGGUGAUUUCUAUUUAAAGGAAUAAUAUUUAAGUCCCUCAAAUUUUUUAUUUUUAACUGCUUGUAUCUUUUUCUAAAACUUAUUAUACUCAUAAGAUAUCAAUAUUUAAUGUUCAAAAUGACUUUUUCUAAAUAUUAAAACAAUUAUUAUUAUUAUUAUUAUUAUUUGUUGUAAUAUAGUGGUAGGGAUAAAAAUCUAAGGGUGACAAAAAAAUUGGUAUUUAAUAGAAUUUUCGUAAUGACAAAAAGUAAAUGGACCCAAGUGAUAAAACAAUAUAAUUGAUGGACAAAAGAUCAUUUUUCAUUUGUGUUGCCGACACCGUAGUUUGGUUUACGCUUCCCGACCCAUGAUAUUCAAGUCCCGGUACCUUUGUCAUCCCAUAAAAUUGUCCAUAAUUAAAAUAAGGCAUGUUUUAUAUUCUGUGGCUAAUAUUUAGAGCAAAUGAAUUUUCCAAGUCCUCCCAUAAAGAUAUCAUAUCCCAACAUAAUCUUCAACCAUUUUAAUGGUUAAAAUUACAAGAGAAGUCGUAUCUAUGUUUUAUCACAAUUGUUUGGCAACCACCAAAUUGGCCGUAUAAAGCCAUUGAUGAAUCAGAAAAAGAUACCAUUGUCGAAAACUUGGCCAUUGUGGUCCCUGAUGUAUAAAACUGACCAUAGGAUUAGCAAAGGUUUGUCAGCUAGCGGAACUUACGUGUACGUCAUGCACACUUAAAUGUUAUCUAUAUACUGUGUAGGCAUUGCUCUGAACUAACCUCUUCAUUCAGAGUCCCCGAGUCAGCUGCAAGGGAAUGGCCAUGAAUAAUCUUUCAGCAGAAUCAACUGUUGCUGCAGCAAUUUCAGCCUUAGUGAUAUUCCUCUCAAUUUUCCUCUUGAUUUCAAGAAAUGGGCAAAAAAGGACACUCAAGAAUAAGCAAGCUCAACAAGCACCGGUAGCAGAGGGAGCAUGGCCUUUGAUAGGCCACCUACAUCUCUUACGAGGGCCAGAGCCAGCUCACAGAGUUUUGGGCAACCUGGCUGACAAAUAUGGAACAAUAUUCACUAUGAAGUUGGGGGUGAAACAUGCUUUAGUGGUGAGCAACUGGGAAAUUGCCAAGGAGUGUUUUACCACAAAUGACAAAGCUUUUGCAGGUCGCCCCAAAACAAUGGCCGUAGAGCUUAUGGGGUACAACUUUUUGGUCAUAGGCUUCGCACCAUAUGGCAACUACUGGCGUCAGUCACGUAAGAUAGUGACAAUUGAGCUUCUGUCAAAUCGUCGCCUUGAGAAGCUCAAACACGUACGUGAAUCUGAAGUGAAGGCUUCAAUCCAGAGGUUAUACAAGAAUUGCAUAAGUAGCAGCAGUUCACGUAAAGUAGUUUCGGUGGAGAUGAUCCAUUGGCUCGAGGGCACAGCACUUGACAUUAUUUUGAGAAUAAUUGCCGGAAAACGUCACACUUCACAAUCAGAAGAGGCUAAUGAUUGGCAACAGCAAAUAACAAAGAUCGCUGCCUUGUCUGGUCAGUUCGUGGUGUCCGAUGCGUUGCCCUUUCUGAGACGGUUAGAUAUCGGUGGAUAUGAGAGAUUAAUGAGCAAGACAGCUAAAUAUUUUGACAUCAUUUUGCAAGAAUGGGUGGAUGAGCACAAGAUGAAAAGAGUUUCUGGUGAAGUUAAGGGCGACGAGGAUUUCAUAUAUGUGUUGUUGUCCCUACUUGAUGAUAAUGCAGAGCAGCUUCCCGAUUGCGAAGCUGACACUGUCAUUAAAGCAAUCUGCUUGGUAUAAUAUAUCCUCAUGAAAUGCUUGUGGUGUGUUUGUGUUUGUAUUGUAAUAUGAAUGUCACAGAUUUCUUACUGCUUUUAAUUUGCAGACUCUAAUCGUAGCGGCUGCAGAGACCACAGUAGUUACAUUGACAUGGGCUAUUGCUUUACUUCUCAACAAUCCCGAGGUUCUGAAGAAGGCACGAGAUGAAAUAGACAUUUAGGUUGGCACUGAAAGGCCAGUGAAUGAAUUAGACACGAGAAAUUUGGUUUACUUGCAGGCCAUUAUCAAGGAAACAAUGCGUUUAUACCCUGCUGGACCACUUUUACUACCUCACGAGUCUAUAGAAGAAUGCGUCGUCAAUGGUUACUGUGAGAUGAAUGAAUCAAGUUUGGUUCCAGAAACGACCACGUUUUGGAGCUGUAAAGCUUCAUUAAACUCACGUGCUUCUCAGCUGGUUAGCAACAGAAAACGAAUUGAUCAAAACGACAGGACUUGAGCGCGUUUUGCAUAUCAGUUUAAGUAACCACGUGAGGAAGCAUGUGACGAAGGUUAUCAGAGUUCGUUAAGGUUGUUAAACCACGUGGCAUCGAGCUGUUUAUUCUGGAAAUCAAGCUGGCUACCUAGAACAGAGUAUAAAGGCUGAGUUUCUGAGGUGAUUCAUGACGAUCUUCAUGAGUCUUGCAGAGAGGGUUUGCAAAGAGAGAAAGUGUUAAUCUGUUCUCUGUAACGUCUGUUGUAAGGCUCUGUAACAAUCUCCAUUGUAAUAUCAAUAAAGCUCAUCUUGAGGCUUCUCCCGUGGAUGUAAGCUGAGCAUUCCAUGCUCAGCUGAACCACGUUAAUCUUGGUGUCUGUGGUUCUUUUCUUGGUUCUUGUUUCAGUUUCUUGUUUGUGUUCAUUGCUAUUGUGCUUUGUUGUUCUUGGGUGAAUUCGUCUGAAUAAAUCUUGGGGGUGUGCAACUUGCAUUGACUAAAUCACAAGCAUCCUAGGGCAGUGGUCAGUUUAGUUUGGUUAUAGGCUUGCUGAUUCACUACAAUUGGUAUCAAAGCUGUGGUGUUCUGUGAUCAAGUCCAAGUAUGGUGUCUUCUAAGGUCGAUAUAGAAAAAUUCACAGGCAAGAAUGAUUUCAAUAUGUGGAAGAUUAAAAUGGAAGCCUUGCUGAUCACUCAGGGUUUGGGAGAUGCAUUUGAGCCUGAAAUGAAGGAAGGUAAAGGGGUUUCUUCAUCAAAGACUCCAGAGGAAUUUGCUGAAAUUCAUAAAAAGGCCAGGAGUACAAUAAUCCUGAGUCUUGGUGAUUCUGUCAUUAGAGAAGUGGCCAAAGAAAAGACAGUGGCUGGAUUAUGGAGCAAACUGGGAAGUCUUUAUAUGACCAAGUCUCUUGCAAAUAGACUCUACAUCAAGAAGAGGAUGUUUACACUGAAAAUGGUGGAAGGAGCUUCACUGGAAGAACACAUUGAUGAGUUUAACAAGGUAUGUGAUACCCUGGAAACCAUUGAUGCAGCUUUGGAUGAUGAAGGGAAGGCUCUCUUGCUUAUCAGUUCAUUACCAAAGUCCUAUGAAAACUUGGUUGAUGCCCUGAUGUAUGGAAGACAAACCCUAACACUUGAUGAAGUAAAAUCUGCCCUGAAUACUAGGGAACUUCAAACUAAGCAAGGACAUUUGGAGAAUAGUGGAAGUGAAGGACUGACAGCAAAUGUGAAGACUAACAAGAAGAAGAAGAAAGGCAAAUCCAAGAACAAAGAAAGAGAUCUAAAAUGCUUUCAGUGUCACAAAGAAGGCCAUUUUAAGAAGGAUUGCCCAGAAAAGAAAUCAAAGACAAAAGAUUCAAGAAAUCAAAGUGGAGAUGCUGCUGUAGUAGAAGAGGAAGGAUAUGAGUCUGCUGGUGUAUGUGUGGCAACAGAAAACAGCCAAAAAGGUAAAUGGGUUCUGGACUCUGGAUGUACCUUUCACAUGUGCCCUUUUAGAAAUUACUUUAAUGAAUAUCAAGCAUUUGAUGGAGGUAGAGUGAUGAUGGGUAAUAACUCUAUUUGUAAAAUCAUUGGAAUUGGGAAUGUAAGUCUUAAACUACAUGAUGGUUCUAUAAGAGUACUUAGGCAAGUCAGGCAUGUACCAGACUUGAAAAGAAAUCUAAUUUCUCUUGGAGUGUUGGACCAAAUAGGGUGUAGAAUUAAGCUUGAAUCUGGUGAAUUGAGUGUUCUGAAUGGUUCAAACCUAGUCAUGAAAGGGACUAGGAAGAAUGGGGUUUACAUCUUAGAUGGUGAGGUGAUAUCUGGAGUAGCUGAUGUAUCCAUUAAGCAUACUGAAGAUAAAACCAGGCUAUGGCAUAUAAGGUUGGGGCACAUGAGUGAGAGAAGGUUAAAAGAGCUAGCAAAACAAGGGUUGUUUGGUUCUGACAAGAUUGGAAAUCUGGAGUUUUGUGAAGAUUGUGUUCUAGGGAAGUCUUCAAGGGGAAGCUUCAAAAGGUCUAGUCAGAAAUCAAAUGAGAGGCUGGAUUAUGCACACUCAGACUUGUGGGGGCCUGCACAAUGUGUAUCUCUGGGAGGGAAUAGGUAUUUUUUAUCCAUCAUAGAUGAUUUCUCUAGGAAAGUCUGGGUAUAUGUGUUAAAAAACAAGGAUCAGACUUUUGAGAAGUUUAAAGAAUGGAAACAGAUGGUAGAAAACCAAACUGGAAAAAGAUUGACAAAACUGAGGACUGAUAAUGGUCUUGAAUUCUGCAACCAGCCAUUUGACAACUUUUGUGCAAAUGAGGGUAUAGCAAGACACAGGACAGUAAGGAUGACCCCACAACAGAAUGGGUUAGCUGAGAGGAUGAACAGGACCCUUAUGGAGAGGGUAAGAUGUAUGCUGAUUCAGUCCAAACUCCCAAAAAUAUUGUGGGCAGAAAUCUUACUCACAGCUUGUUACCUUGUCAACCUGAGCCCCUCUACUGGAAUCAAUUUCAAAACACCUUUCGAAACGUGGUCAGGGAAAACUGCUGACUAUGGGAUUCUUAAAGCUUUUGGCUGCCCAGCUUAUGUUCAUGUCAGUCAAGGUAAGCUAGCUGCUAGAGCCUUGAGAGGCAUUUUCAUAGGCUAUCCAGAAGGAGUCAAAGGGUUUAAAGUUUAGUGCACUGACCUUAAUCUACCAAAAUGUAUAGUAAGCAGGGAUGUGGUGUUCAAUGCGGGCAGUUUGAUGAAGAUGAAUCAUGAACCUGAUCUGGAAACUGAAAAUUCAAGACUAACAGAGAAGUUAGAGUUUGAGGUGGAGCCAUCUACUUUCAGAAACACAACUGAAGCUGCAGAAUCAGAUGAUGUUCCUGAAAUCACUGAUGACACACAGGCACCUCAAGAUCAGUCAAGUUCUCAGGAGCAAAUCAGAGAAUACCAGCUCACCAGAGAUAGACAAAAAAGGCAGAUUAAACCAACAAGAAGAUAUGGCUAUGCAGAUUUAAUAGGUUUUGCUCUUGCAGCUGCAAAAGAUAUAGAUGAUGAGGAAACAAAGAAUUUUAAGGAAGCAACCCAGAGCCUGUUCAAAGAAGNNNNNNNNNNNNNNNNNNNNNNNNNNNNNNNNNNNNNNNNNNNNNNNNNNNNNNNNNNNNNNNNNNNNNNNNNNNNNNNNNNNNNNNNNNNNNNNNNNNNNNNNNNNNNNNNNNNNNNNNNNNNNNUAAAUGGAUCUGAACCAAGGAGAUUCAAGGCCAGACUUGUGGCCAAGGGUUAUACACAAAAGGAGGGGAUAGAUUUUAAAGAAGUGUUUUCUCCAGUGGUCAGACAUGCCUCAAUUAGAGUUAUAUUAGCCAUAACAGCUGUGCAAGACAUGGAGCUUGAUCAACUCGAUGUCAAGACAGCAUUUCUGCAUGGAAGGCUUGAGGAAGAAAUACUGAUGUCCCAGCCUGAAGGGUAUGAGAUCCCAGGGAAGGAAGACCAUGUGUGUCAGCUAAAGAAGUCACUCUAUGGGCUUAAGCAGUCUCCCAGACAGUGGUACCUCAGAUUUGAUGAAUUCAUGCAACUACAUGAGUUUAUCAAAUGCAGCUAUGACUGUUGUGUUUACUACAAGACAAUCAAGGAUGGUUUGUACAUAUACCUCCUUCUAUAUGUAGAUGACAUGUUGGUUGCUUGCAAAGAUAGAGAAGAAAUUGAUAAGCUCAAGGUGCUGCUGAAUUCAGAAUUCGAAAUGAAUGAUUUGGGGUAUGCAAGGAAGAUUCUAGGAAUGGAGAUCAGAAGAAAUAGAAGUAAAGGGAUCAUGUUUCUAUCACAAGAAAAAUACUUGAGAAAGGUGUUAGAAACAUUUGACAUGAGCAAGGCUAAACCUGUGCAACUACCAUUGGCUUCACAUUUCAGGUUAAGCAAUUUACAGUGCCCUCAAACAGAAGCUGAAAAGCAAGAUAUGGCAAGUGUACCCUAUGCAAAUGCAGUAGGCUGCCUUAUGUAUGCAAUGGUCUUAACUAGACCAGACACAUCUCAUGCUGUCAGUGUAGUCAGCAGAUACAUGGCACAACCUGGGGAAGACCAUUGGAAGGCAGUAAAAUGGAUACUCAGGUAUCUCAAUGGCACUGUAAAUUGGGGUCUGAUGUAUGGCAAAACAGGAGCAAGUAAUGAGGUUCUGAAGGGGUAUGUUGACUCAGAUUAUGCAGGGGAUUUAGAUAGGAGAAGGUCUCUUACAGGAUACUUGUUCAUGUUAAAUGGUUGUGCUGUAAAUUGGAAGGCAACACUACAAAGUGUAGUAGCUCUUUCAACUACUGAAGCUGAGUAUACAGCUGCUACAGAAGCUGUAAAAGAAGAACUUUGGCUCAAGGGGUUGGUGACAGAGCUGGGAUUACAUUAGAAGUCAGUAUCAGUCUAUUGUGACAGCUCAAGUGCCAUACACUUGAGUAAAAACCCUGCACACCAUGAAAAGACAAAGCAUAUAGACAUUAAGCUCCAUUUUAUCAGAAAUGAAGUGUCAAGGGGUGCUGUGAAAAUGGUGAAGAUUCAUAUUGAUGAGAAUCCUGCAGAUGCAUUUACAAAGGUGAUUCCUGUGGCUAAGUUCAGAGCUUGCCUGGACCUAGCUGGCUUGUGCAGUCAGUAAUAUGUGUUGUGCAAAUUUUAAUGUACUCGCAAGCGCACGAAUCUAUUGUAGUAUAGACUAAUGGUGACGAGUGUCGAUCCCACGAGGAGGUGGAUUUUAAUUAUAUGUAGAAUUAAUUUUGUAAAUGGGUAGUUGGAUUUAUGGUGGAAAUGAUUUGGAAUAUACUAAUAAUUAAAUUAAAAUGGCGAGAAUAAAUUCUAAAAUUGGAAUUGCAAUUGAGAGAAUAAAUUGAAGAGAAAAUCUAUUAAAUUGACGUACUUGGGUAUCUGGAUCCGUAUCAACAUGCAUCAUGGGCUAAAUAUUCCUUAGUAAUACCAAUUAAAUCAUGAGGGGGGAAUCCACACCUCAUGAACCACGCUCUAAUCAAUAUGGUGCUAAGGGCUUAUCGUGCCAAAUAAUAAUAACCUUGUACCAGAGGGCCGGUGAAACCAAGGCGGUACUAGACAAGAUUAGUAUUAUUUGUCGACGAGAAGUCAAAACAUCCACAAAAACUAGAGGGGAAGAGAAAAUAAAUUUACCAAAUUAAGCCCGUGACACAUGUUGAGACUUCACCUUCAACCCAAGCUUGAAAGAAAAUUAGCCACUCAUAAUUGAACUAGGGGCAAAAUGGGAAUUUAUUAAAAUACAAAGAAAAUACAAGAUGGAGAGGGAAUUACAGAAAAUGGAUCCCAAAAAUGGAUUCAGAGAUAUCAAAUUAGGGGGGGGAGGCCCCCUUUUUAUAGAUACAUGGAGUAAAUCAUGGCCAUCGGAUUAAAAACAGUUUGGACGCUCAGGAUUGCGCCACGUCAUCAGUCAACAGUCCACGGUUUGACCACGCGGAUGAACAGUAACACGGUUUGACCCGACUUUGAACAGUAACGCGGUUUGGUUGAAAAUAAUCCUGUGUGAUGCAUGCACCGUACGCGAGAUUUUUCGUCCACUGAUAUGCUGCCACGUCACCAUCAACAGUGCAUAAGAAUUUUAGUCCAACAGGAUCGUGACACCUCAUCAGUCAAUGCCACAUCAUCGGUCAAUGCCACGUCAUCAUCCGUUUAUGUGAACAGUGUCGUGAACAGUAACGUAUACAGUACCGUACACGUGAAUAGUACCGUACAUGUGAAUAGUGCCAUUUUUCCUUUUAUGCUCCUCCUAAGGUUUUCGACCGUCCUGAGUUCAAAAGUGAUGUCCGUUUUGCCGUCUGAUCUCUCCUUUAUUGUGAAAUGACUAUAAUGCCCCUAAAAUACAUAAAAUACUUAAUUAAAAUAAAACACAUGUAAUUAAAUCACAAGAAGGUUAAAUAUAUAACAGUAAGGGUUGUUAGUAAGACUUAAAAUGUAAAAUGACGGUUUUCUCCUUUAUAAAUAUGCAUUUUCUAACACUCAACACACCCCCCAACCAGCUUAUUGCUAGUCCCUAGCAAAUAAAGCGAAAAUAAAAUUCAAAUUCAAAAUAUAUAUAUUUUUUUAAUAGAAACACUCGUAUUUAUUCCAUCAGAUUAAUGAUAGCAAUCAAAUAAAAGUAUAAGCAUUAUCUCCAGUCUAAAGCAACAUCACACCCACAUCAACCAUCCACAUGAAUUAGCCCAGUAGACUUUGUUUUAGCUACUCUCAAGAAUGACAUGUCAAACCCCAAAAUCUCACUGGAAGUAGUGACACUCUCACAAAUAAAUUAAUCCCAAUAAAAAUAGUCACUCCAAUGAAUGGUAAUUGAGAGAGAAAAUAAUAAAGAAGUGAUAUCACAUGCUCUCACCAAGAUGAAAUAAAUAUGCCCUCAGCUUAGAAAUAAUACGAUCUCAAGUCAAAUAAAAUGUUAGUCAACCCACUUUAUUUAUCUUUUUUUUUUUUAAUUAUGCAUCACUACAUCUUUUUAGCCCAUAUAACUAUCUUCUACUUCGGACUAUAGUUCCCUAAAAUCAAGAAGGACUUUUAUUAGGACGUAACGUAGGCUAGGGACAUGGUUAACAAAGAAGGGAAAUAAGGAAAACAAAGUGUAUGUUUGAGAAAAAUGCAGAGAAUUUUUUUUUUUUUUUUGGAAGUUGCAAGGUGGAUUUCACCUAUUUUUAUUCUUUUGAAACAACAACUUUUGUUUUUGUUUUUGUUUUUGUUUUUUUGUUUUUGUUUUUUUUUUUUUUUGCUUUUAUUUGGCAUAACUUCACUGAACAAAAUAAUUAUUUACAUUUUCUCAAACAUAAAUAGGUGAUGGAACUUAUAAGACAUCGGGUAAUACUCCAAAUCGGAGUGGGUCAAGAUGAUAAGUUGACAAAGAAAAUGUUUUUUUUUUUUAAAGGCUCAAAAGGGUUAACUAUGGAUAUUUAAUAAAAUGGAUGGCUAGAAAGGCUCAAACGGAUCAAAGAUGGCCUUUCCAUCGUCUUUUAUGGCUCUGAAUAACCUUCCAUAUCUACUAGUUAGAUGGGCCUCCAAAUGUAGCAACACACUUUUUUUUUUUUUAUUAAGGGUUAACUCAAAAGAAAUUUAGAGAUCGUGUAUACAAUAAUAAACUGUUAAGCUGUAUAAAGAAUGGGCAAAAGGGUUACUCUCCAAGAAAAAUGAUAGGCUCAAAAACUCACUUGGUACUUAUUAUGACAUGUUCAUUCCUUCAAGCAACUCAUAUAUGUCUCCAACAUCAACAUGUAGAGUAGCAAACAUAAUGUAACAUCACUUAAGACCAAAGAUAAUACAAAUACUAAAAUUUAAAUUAAUCAUGUCACCCAAUGUUAAAACAAAUCAAAAAAAAAUUUUUUUUUAAAAAAAACAUUCUACCCCCCAACCUAUUCUAAACAUAAAAAAGAAAAAAAUAUGCAUGCAGAAAUGUGAAAAUGAUGUAGAAAAAUUAAUUUAGAAAAGUUACAUUUAAAAUGAUAGAAAAGAAAAUGAUUUUUUUAUUAUUUUUUUUAAAGAAGAUGCGUUUCUAGAGGAACUACACUCCAUAUUCAGCCAUCUUCGACUCAAAAGUUGGAAAAUGCAUUUUUAUAGAGGAUAAAUUAAAAAGAAGAAAAAUAAACAUAAACACAUAAUAAAGAAAAAAGAAAAUGUCUUAAUUUUUUUUUUUAAGUUUUUUUUUUUUAAUUUUUUUUUUAAACUAUGAAGAUGCGUUUCUAGAGUCACUACACUCCAUAUUCAGCCAUCUUCAACUCAAAAAGUUAGCAACAGUUAGUUUCUACAACAAAAAAUUAGUAAAAACUUAACCAAAAUUUCAUAAUUGUCGACUAUUCCCUCCCCCCAACCAGAACGAAACAUUGUCCUCGAUGUUUGAAAUGAAAGAAGUAGAGUUUAGAAGACAUCACCUGGGUGGUGCAACACAGAAGAAAAUAUUUACAGGCGGAGAGUUAAAUCUAAUUUGUACUUCUUACUGCUGCUACUGUUACCAUCAUUAUUUGGGCGCUCCAACACAAAGGUCCAGGGGUCUAGCUCCGGUUUAUACGCUUGUAACAGAUCAAGUAGCUCAUUAGCAGUGUGAGCACAAAUAAAGAGUUUUUUCACAUUAGCGGGAAUGAAAUAGUUUUUUAUUGCAUGGUUAAGAAAUGCGAUAAAGCCAUCAUAAAAGUUAUUGACAUUUAACAAACCGAUGGGUUUUUGGUGGAUGUGCAGAUGGGCCCAAGAUGCUAGCGUGAUAAGUGCCUCUAGUGUUGCAAGAUCUCCUGGAAGGAAAAUAAAAGCAUCAGCAUGAUUAAGCAUUUCAGUUAUUCUUUCUUGCAUACCUGAGACGACUAACUCUUCUCCAGUUGAUGAGUCAGACGAACUGCCCAAUGGUUUUAAGACUCUUGGGAUGAUGCCUAACACUUGACUUCCUCUGAUAAAAGCUGCUUCGGAGACCAUUUUUGAUAACCCUCGAUUACCUCCUCCAUACACCAAGUGUAAUUUUCUCGCUGCUAUGCUUCGACCAAGAUCUAUGGCUGCCUCAACGAACUCUUUAUGUUUGCCAUAGGUAAAUCCAGAAAGCACACAAAUGUUCUUGAAUUGUCUAUUGGAAGUAGCUGCCAUUGUGAUACUUCUCGAAAACAAUUUGUGAGUGCUUGACAAAAAAGAAAUCACAUUUAAGAGUCUUGGUGAUAGUGGGUCAUGGUUGUGUAUGAGGUAAUAUGUCAGUGUCAAAUAACGCGUAAAGCACGUGGCUCGCAAGUCAAAAAGAAAACAGUAAAAAGGAAAAAGCAAACAGUAAUAAAAUUAUUAAAGACAAUAAUGCAAACAAUAAGACAAUAGUGAAAUAAAAUAACAAUAAAGUAAAAGGAUAUUUACAGGUAGUUGCGACUGUGGCUCACAUCUUCCUCUGGUUUUACGUCCAGAAACGGCUUGAACGCCCUCUAUGGGUCGAGGAUAGGCUUCCUAUCCAGUUUUCUUAUAAACUGGCAAACAGGGUCGUUUAUAGUCAGAUUCCCGAGACUAUAUCGUGCAUGCUCUUUCUGGAAUAACGGCCAUAACUGGAGAAUCGCUCCUUGCACAUAUCCACUGGGAUGCGUUUCAAGAGACAAAAGGAUAUCAUCCAAUGACUCCUUAUUCAAGCCAUCCCUAAUGAAUUGAAUCUUAUCUUCCCUGUUAUCAGACACCAUUCCUAAAGAACAUGGGUUUUUAUUGCAACUCAUUCUGGCACACUUAUGACAAGCAACAGAAAUUCUUCGAGCUCGUCGUUUUCUUGCAUAAUUUCCUUUACCACAACCAGGCAUGUAUGCAAUAAAUUUUGGAGGUAACUCACCUGCCGAUCGUACUUUAGCCUCGAUUAACCAACGGAUGUCAGCAGGUAUGUUAUUCCUCAUGAGUAAUCGCAUGCGUUCGGACCGAGCUUUAUAGAUCGUAAGGAGGGCAUUCUGAGGAAGUGAAGGGAAUCGCUUGUGAAGCUUCGCUAGAAUCUCGUUUCUGUCCAUACCUUCGCCUCAGAAUAUCAGUUAUUAUGGGAAACUGAAGUAACCGACUUGAUUGUCACGGAGUACCGUUAUCCGCCAUUUCACCGGGGUAACAAACUAAAGCACACAAAUAGAAAAACAAAUUAAAACACACAAAGAAAAUUAAAAUCGUCCUCUUAUUGAAUUUACCUCAAGCUCCAACUGGAUGUCGUAAACACUUCUCUCAAUGUCUCUGAGUUGGUGUUCUAAACCCUCAACAUAGGCUACUAACUCUGGUGGUUGUAGAGCCCAAAUGCGAUGUGUUUUACAAAAUUGAAUCUGUCUUUUGAGAUGAGUUUUGACACGUUGAAGUGGUUUAAGAAUGUUCAGGAGGAACGGUCUAAGUAUGAGACUCAUGAUUAAAAAUGAUAAGAGAAAACUUAAUGGUAAAAUAAACACACUUAUGCAAAAACAAUUUCAAUUAGCAAAAGAAUAAUAAUAAAAAGAAAGAAAGAAAAAUCAAAUCAACGAAAAGAAAAAAAAAUCAAUUCAAAUUUGGUGGGUCACUCAAAUUUAUUUCGGUGUCUUCUUCAUGUGGUUGGUACUCUAGAUAUGGCUUUAAUAUUUGACCAUUAACUUUAAACGUGACACCAUUCUUUGGGUCUUUAAUUUCAAUUGCCCCAUGUGGAAAAACAGUAUGAACAAUAAAUGGGCCAGACCAUCGAGAGCGUAACUUACCUGGGAAUAGGUGCAAGCGAGAAUUGAAUAAAAGCACUUUCUGACCUGGGGUGAAAGAUUUUCUCAUAAUUUGCUUGUCAUGGAAGACUUUCAUUCGUUGCUUGUAAAUCUUGGCAUUUUCGUAUGCAUCAUUGCGAAUUUCUUCAAGUUCUGCCAGUUGUAAUCUUCUUUCUGAGUUGGCUUGCUGCAUGUCAAAAUUGAAUUUCUUGAUGGCCCAAUACGCACGAUGCUCGAGUUCCACAGGUAGGUGGCAAGCUUUUCCAUACACUAGCCUGUAGGGUGACAUCCCAAUCGGGGUCUUGAAAGCCGUUCUAUAUGCCCAUAAUGCAUCAUCAAGUCUUAAUGACCAAUCUUUUCUGUCUGGCCUCACCGUUUUUUCUAAUAUGUGCUUUAUUUCUCGAUUGGAGAUCUCAACUUGGCCACUGGUUUGCGGAUGAUACAGGGUCGCCACUUUGUGUGUGAUUGAAUACUUUGUCAAAAGAGCCUUGAAUGCUUUGUUACAAAAGUGGGCACCACCAUCACUGAUUAUCGCUCGAGGGAAUCCAAAGCGUGAAACAAUGUUGCUUUUCAAAAAUCCUAUCACCACUUUGUGAUCAUUGGUCCUACAUGGAAUUGCUUCUACCCAUUUCGAGACGUAGUCAACACCAACCAAUAUGUAUUGAUGGCCAAAAGAAGGGGGAAAGGGUCCCAUGAAGUCGAUACCCCAUACGUCAAAAAUCUCAACCACUAAAAUUGGAUUUAGUGGCAUCAUGUUUCUUCGUGUAAUGCUCCCCAUUCGUUGACACCUAUCACAUGAAGAACAGAAAGUGUAAGCAUCUCGAAAUAUAGUUGGCCAAUAGAAACCACAUUGUAAAACUUUUGUAGCUGUUUUCUUAGCACUGAAAUGGCCUCCACACGCUUGUUCAUGGCAGAAUGAAAGAAUAUUCUGAAUUUCAUUUUCAGGGACACAUCGUCUAACAAUUUGGUCUGCACAAUACUUGAACAAAUAUGGGUCAUCCCAAAAGAAAUUCUUUAUUUCUGCAAAGAAUUUAGCCUUAUCUUGCUUGGUCCAAUGCUCUGGAAGUUUACCUGUAACAAGAUAAUUAACUAUAUCAGCAUACCAAGGUAAUACUUCCACAUUCAUUAAUUGUUCAUCUGGAAAUGACUCAUUCAAUGGUAAUGAUUCUGUAAUUGUGUCAAAAUGGAGACGAGAGAGGUGGUCCGCCACAACAUUCUCUGUCCCUUUUUUAUCUUUGAAUUCCAAGUCAAAUUCCUGCAAAAGUAACACCCAACGAAUUAGUCUGGCUUUUGCAUCUUUCUUUGUGAGAAGAUAUUUAAGAGCAGCAUGAUCUGUAAAUAUAAUUAUUUUACAACCAAUGAGAUAUGAUCGAAAUUUUUCCAAUGCAAACACUACUGCUAGCAUUUCUUUUUCAGUAGUUGAAUAGUUCAACUGUGCAUCAUUCAAUGUCAUACUAGCAUAGUAAAUAACAUGGGGAAUUCGAUCAACUCUUUGUCCUAAUACUGCUCCUACUGCAUAAUCAGAUGCAUCACACAUUAGCUCAAAUGGUAAGUUCCAGUUUGGGGCCUGAAUGAUGGGUGAUGAUGUCAACAAAUGCUUUAAUUUUUCAAAUGCCACAAGACAUGAAUCAUUAAAGACAAAAGGUGCAUCCUUAGCAAGUAAAUUGCAUAAGGGUCUAGAAACUUUGCUAAAAUCUUUAAUGAAACGUCUAUAAAAACCAGCAUGCCCAAGGAAAGAUCUUACUUCUCUGAUUGUUUUAGGUGGAGGAAGAUUAGAAAUGAGAUCCACCUUGGCUUUGUCAACCUCAAUACCUUUGCUCGAAAUGAUGUGACCGAGAACAAUACCUUGUUUUACCAUAAAAUGGCAUUUCUCCCAAUUUAAGAUCAAGUUCUUCUCGAUACAUCUCUGCAGAACUAGUGUUAGAUGAUGUAAACAUUGAUCAAACGAGUCACCAAAGACAGAAAAAUCAUCCAUAAAGACUUCAAGGAAUCGUUCAACCAUAUCAGAAAAAAUGCUCAACAUGCAUCGUUGAAAUGUAGCAGGUGCAUUACAUAAUCCAAAUGGCAUUCUCCUAUAUGCAAAUGUGCCAAAAGGGCAAGUGAAAGUAGUUUUCUCUUGAUCUUUUGGUGCUAUGGGAAUCUGAUUAUAUCCUGAGUAACCAUCUAGAAAGCAGUAAAAUUCAUGGCCUGCUAAUCUAUCAAGCAUUUGAUCAAUAAAUGGUAAAGGAAAAUGGUCUUUACGUGUGACAGAAUUCAAUUUUCUAUAAUCAAUGCAUACACGCCAUCCUGUAGUCACUCUAGUGAGUAUCAAUUCAUUAUCAGCAUUGGUAACUACUGUGACUCCUGACUUUUUAGGGACAACUUGUACAGGACUGACCCAUGAACUAUCAGAAAUUGGGUAAAUGAUACCUGCAUCUAAUAGCUUAAGGACUUCAGUUCUAACCACUUCUUUCAUAUUAGGAUUUAACCGACGUUGCAUUUCCCUAGUAGAUUUAGCAUUUUCAUCAAGGUGAAUGUAAUGCAUGCAGUCUACUGGAUUUAUACCUUUGAUGUCUGCUAUGGUCCAUCCUAAUGCUCUUUUGUGCUCUUUUAAAACAUCCAACAACUUACCUUUUUGUUCAUCAUUUAGGGAUGAUGAGAUGAUUACCGGCAGAGUACUUUCUUCUCCCAAAAACGCAUAUUCCAUAGUGUUGGGCAAUGGUUUGAGCUCGAGUUUCGGUGGUGAUUCUGAUGAUGGAAUGAGUUGCUUCUCUGAUGGUGCUAGUUGCUCAACUCUUGACUUCCAUUUAUUAGUAUCCAUAGAUGGUGCUGAGUCAAGCAGGGCGUUGACCUCAUCAACCGAUCUGUCAAUAUCAAAAUCAAAACCAAAGUGAGUUAAACAUGUUUGUAAAUGAUCAUCACUAAGGUUUGAAAGAAAAGUGUCAUCAACUAAUGCUUCGAUUAAAUCCACAUCAACAAUUCCAUCAUCUGCACUGUGAGGUUGUUUGGCAAUGUUGAAGAUGUUCAACUCCAUAGUCAUGUUGCCGAAGGACAAUUGCAUAUUUCCGGUCCUACAUUGAAUGUGAGCAUCCGCAGUUGCCAAGAAAGGUCGGCCUAGAAUAAUGGGGAUGUGCUUCCUUGAAUCCUGUAUUGGUUGAGUGUCAAUUACAAUGAAAUCAACAGGAAAAUAAAACUUGUCUACCUGGAUAAGCACGUCCUCCACAAUACCACGAGGUAUUUUCGUGGACCGAUCUGCAAGCUGUAACACCACUGGAGUUGGGUGUAAUUCUCCCAGUCCAAGUUUCACGAAUACAGAGUAAGGCAAAAGAUUUACACUAGCUCCUAAAUCCAACAAAGCAUUCUCAAUUGUGUGGUUCCCUAUACUACAUGAGAUAGUGGGGGAGCCUGGGUCUUUGCAUUUUAAAGGAAUUUUAUGUUGGAGUAUAGAACUAACGUUUUCUGUUAAAAAUGCCUUCUUUUGAACAUGCAUGUUUCUCUUUUUAGUACACAAAUCUUUAAGAAACUUGGCAUAAGAUGGAACUUGGUUUAUAGCAUCAAGUAAAGGGAUGUUAACACUUACCUGUUUGAAGAUUUCGAGAAUCUCACCUGUAGAUUUUCCCUUUUUUCCUUUCGCUAACCUCUGAGGAAAUGGAGCUUUGGGAACGUAUUCUCGUGGGUUGGCUUCUUCUCUCUCCUCCGGUGGUGAGUCCUCAACAUUCACAGGUACAAUUUGAUUUUCUUUUGUCACCGGCAUCUCCACUUUGUUGUCGACUUCUUUUCCUUUUCGCAAGGUCAUUACUGCUUUGACUUCUCCAUGCUGCUGUGGUGAACUGGUACUUGCUUCAUGCACUCCUUUAGGGUUAGGCACUGGUUGACUUGGAAACUUACCUUUCUCAACGGUCAUUGCCAAGGUCUGAACUGAAGAAGCAAGUUGUCCCACCAUCUUCUCAAGGCUUGAAACUGAUUGAGCUUGUGAGUUGAAGCCUGCUCUCAACUCAUUUCGUAGUCCAUCAAUGGUGCGGUUCUGUUGCUCAAUCGUGGAGUGAGUAAGAUUCUUAAGAUUCUGGAAUGAAUCCUCCCAUGGUCUGGGCUGAGAGUAAUUCUGGUUCUGAUUGUAUGGUCUAAAUGGUGGCUGAGAGGCUUGAGAAGUUUGAGAAAUUUGUUGCAUUGGUGGAGCUGGAGCUGCUGGUCCAUUCUGUUGGAAUCCUUGAGACCAUGAAAAAUUGGGGUGAUCUCUCCAUCCAGGGUUAUAUGUGUUGGAGUAUGGGUUGUAAUUUGAUGGCUUUCUCAUUACACCUAUGGCAUUGGCUUGAUCUGAGUAUGAGUCAUGGUCAUGUGGUUCUGUUGAUUUAGCAGUCGAUAAUGAUGCUAUUUGUCGAGCAAGACCUUCAACCAUCUCCUUGACUUCUUUGAUUCCUGAAGUUGACUCGCCAAUGUGAACCUCAUUCACUCCUUUAAUCCUUCUAGUAUUCCUGAGUGAUCGACUCCGUUGUUGGGAAUUGUCCGCUUGUCGCUGGAAGAAUUCCCAAAUUUCUGACACACUUUUUGACAUUAGCUCUCCUCCACUUGUUGCCAUUAGCCAUUCUUGCACAUUCGGCAAUAAUCCCUCCAAAAAGUAUUGGCAUUGGUGCCAUUUCUCGUACCCAUGAUGUGGACACUUCAAGAGUAGCCCAUUGAAUCGCUCCCAUGUUUCAAAAAACUGCUCGUCCUCUCUCUGGGUAAACUCCGAGAUUUCCCUGCGAAUAGCGUUGGUUUUAUGCACUGGGAAAUAUUUAUUUAAAAAUUUUGUAACCAUUUGUUCCCAUGAUGAAAUGCUAUUGGCAGGUAAAUUAUUUAACCAUGAACGAGCUCUAUCCUUUAAAGAAAAUGGGAAUAGUCUAAGUUUAACAUCAUCGUCUGAAAAAUUUUCAUAUUUAAAAGUUUGACAAAUGGCAUGAAAAUCGUUCAGUGAUUAUAUGGAUCCUCAUUUUCUAGGCCAUAAAAUGUGGGGAGACAAUUUAGCACACUAGGUUUUAGUUCAAAGCUCCUAGCAGCUACAUUAGGGUAUCUUAUGCAUGAUGUGCUCAAAUUAGCUAAAGGACUGAAGUAGUCCUUAAAUGGCCUCUCUUGUGGUUGCAAAUCCAUUUCAAAUUUAUUUUUAAUGUGCUUUUGUGUGCGAAGUGUUUUUUCUAAUUCAAGGUCUAUAGGUUCAAGAUUAGGUAAUAAUGACCUACGACCAUGCAUGCAAAACAAAUAAAAAGAAAAUAAAGAUGGGAACAAAACAAAUAAAAAUAAAGAAGAGGGAGAAAUUACGAUACUAACCUUAUUGCGCUAUUACAACCUUACUAUAAAAAUACACAAAAACAAAUAUGUGAAAUAAAUUAACUAAAAAUAAAUUAAUAAGAUAAACAAAAAAAAAUUACAAAGAAAAAUAAAUUAAAAAUUAAAUUACAGAAUUUUACAGAAGAGAAAAAGAAAAAAAAAUACUAACCUUUAAAUGCAGAUUCAAUUUUUUUUUCUUUUUUUUUUAAUAAAAAAAAUUACAAGAAAAUAAUUAAAAGAAAUUGUUCACAAAAAUUAAUUCUAUGAAUUAAAAUUACUUACCUCCCCGGCAACGGCGCCAAAAACUUGUUGUGCAAAUUUUAAUGUACUCGCAAGCGCACGAAUCUAUUGUAGUAUAGACUAAUGGUGACGAGUGUCGAUCCCACGAGGAGGUGGAUUUUAAUUAUAUGUAGAAUUAAUUUUGUAAAUGGGUAGUUGGAUUUAUGGUGGAAAUGAUUUGGAAUAUGCUAAUAAUUAAAUUAAAAUGGCGAGAAUAAAUUCUAAAAUUGGAAUUGCAAUUGAGAGAAUAAAUUGAAGAGAAAAUCUAUUAAAUUGACGUACUUGGGUAUCUGGAUCCGUAUCAACAUGCAUCAUGGGCUAAAUAUUCCUUAUUAAUACCAAUUAAAUCAUGAGGGGGGAAUCCACACCUCAUGAACCACGCUCUAAUCAAUAUGGUGCUAAGCGCUUAUCGUGCCAAAUAAUAAUAACCUUGUACCAGAGGGCCGGUGAAACCAAGGCGGUACUAGACAAGAUUAGUAUUAUUUGUCGACGAGAAGUCAAAACAUCCACAAAAACUAGAGGGGAAGAGAAAAUAAAUUUACCAAAUUAAGCCCAUGACACAUGUUGAGACUUCACCUUCAACCCAAGCUUGAAAGAAAAUUAGCCACUCAUAAUUGAACUAGGGGCAAAAUGGGAAUUUAUUAAAAUACAAAGAAAAUACAAGAUGGAGAGGGAAUUACAGAAAAUGGAUCCCAAAAAUGGAUUCAGAGAUAUCAAAUUAGGGGGGGGAGGCCCCCUUUUUAUAGAUACAUGGAGUAAAUCAUGGCCAUCGGAUUAAAAACAGUUUGGACGCUCAGGAUUGCGCCACGUCAUCAGUCAACAGUCCACGGUUUGACCACGCGGAUGAACAGUAACACGGUUUGACCCGACUUUGAACAGUAACGCGGUUUGACCCGGAUGAACAGUAACGCGGUUUGGUUGAAAAUAAUCCUGUGUGAUGCAUGCACUGUACGCGAGAUUUUUCGUCCACUGAUAUGCUGCCACGUCACCAUCAACAGUGCAUAAGAAUUUUAGUCCAACAGGAUCGUGACACCUCAUCAGUCAAUGCCACAUCAUCGGUCAAUGCCACGUCAUCAUCCGUUUAUGUGAACAGUGUCGUGAACAGUAACGUAUACAGUACCGUACACGUGAAUAGUACCGUACAUGUGAAUAGUGCCAUUUUUCCUUUUAUGCUCCUCCUAAGGUUUUCGACCGUCCUGAGUUCAAAAGUGAUGUCCGUUUUGCCGUCUGAUCUCUCCUUUAUUGUGAAAUGACUAUAAUGCCCCUAAAAUACAUAAAAUACUUAAUUAAAAUAAAACACAUGUAAUUAAAUCACAAGAAGGUUAAAUAUAUAACAGUAAGGGUUGUUAGUAAGACUUAAAAUGUAAAAUGACGGUUUUCUCCUUUAUAAAUAUGCAUUUUCUAACACUCAACAAUAUGCAAAAGGGUUGGAGAAGGAUUUAGAGUGAGGAUAAACUUUGAUUCAAGGUGGAGAAUUGUGAGAUGAAUGAAUCAAGUUUGGUUCCAGAAACGACCACGUUUUGGAGCUGUAAAGCUUCAUUAAACUCACGUGCUUAUCAGCUGGUUAGCAACAGAAAACGAAUUGAUCAAAACGACAGGACUUGAGCGCGUUUUGCAUAUCAGUUUAAGUAACCACGUGAGGAAGCAUGUGACGAAGGUUAUCAGAGUUCGUUAAGGUUGUUAAACCACGUGGCAUCGAGCUGUUUAUUCUGGAAAUCAAGCUGGCUACUUAGAACAGAGUAUAAAGGCUGAGUUUCUGAGGUGAUUCAUGACGAUCUUCAUGAGUCUUGCAGAGAGGGUUUGCAAAGAGAGAAAGUGUUAAUCUGUUCUCUGUAACGUCUGUUGUAAGGCUCUGUAACAAUCUCCAUUGUAAUAUCAAUAAAGCUCAUCUUGAGGCUUCUCCCGUGGAUGUAAGCUGAGCAUUCCAUGCUCAGCUGAACCACGUUAAUCUUGGUGUCUGUGGUUCUUUUCUUGGUUCUUGUUUCAGUUUCUUGUUUGUGUUCAUUGCUAUUGUGCUUUGUUGUUCUUGGGUGAAUUCGUCUGAAUAAAUCUUGGGGGUGUGCAACUUGCAUUGACUAAAUCACAAGCAUCCUAGGGCAGUGGUCAGUUUAGUUUGGUUAUAGGCUUGCUGAUUCACUACAGUUACCAUGUCCCCGCAGGCACCCAACUGUUUGUUAACGCUUGGAAGAUUCAACGCGACCCAAGUGUAUGGGAGGAGCCAUGUCAGUUUCAGCCAGAAAGAUUUCUUACGAGGUAUAAGGAUAUUGAUGUUAGGGGGCAAAAUUUUGAAUUGAUACCAUUUGGCAGUGGAAGACGAAUGUGUCCUGCAGUGUCAUUAGGCCUCCAAGUUGUGCAACUAACGCUUGCUUCAUUAGUGCAUGCGUUUGAUUUCACAACCCCAUCAGAUGAACCGGUUGACAUGGGAGAGGCAAUGGGCCUAGCCAUUGCUAAAGCUACACCACUUGAAGUGAUUCUUAGUCCACGCCUUUCUGCUUCUUUAUAUGGUUAAAAUUAGCUUGUGUACUUGUUAAGGCAAAAAUAAGUUGUACUUUUCAACAAUUUAGGGUGCGUUUGGGACAUGUAUUGUAUUAUGUUUUAUUGCAUUAUUUUAAUAUUAGUGUAUUGUAUUAUGCUGUAUUGCAUUAAGACUGUAUUAUAAUAAUAUUAUGCAUGUUUGGUUCUACACUGUACUGUAAUAAUUUUUUUGAUUAAUUUAAAUUAAAUAUUAUAUUAUAUUAUAGUAUAUUAAUAUACUUAUAUUGUAUUAAUAUUUUAUAUUAUUAUUAAUUUUAAAUUAAUAUUAUUCAAAUUUAACUAUUUAUUAUUAGUUAUAAUAAAUUAUAAAUUUAUUAAUAAAUUAUAAUGUAAAAAAAAUAUAAUAUAAUAAUAUUGAAUAAUAAAUUACAUGUUUAUUAAUUUAUAUUAAUAAUUAUAAUAUAAAAAUAAUAUUAAAUUAAAAGUUAUAUUUAAUAAUAAUAAUAAUUAUUAUUAUUAUUAUAAAGUAAAAGUCAAAACGCAAAACUCAAAAAGCAAGACUCCAGCGAUAGUUGCAAAAGCAAAAAAGGGAGAGAGAGAGAAAAAAAAAAAAAACAAAACAAGCAGCAAUUGCUGCAUUAAGUUAAACCCGACUGUGAGUCGGGUAGCUAAUGCGGCAAUUGCCGCAUUAGUUUGGACUUUUAAUAUGAUGGCCCUGUAGCUUUUUAUUUGCUAAACAUGAGCUUGUGUUUAUAUCAAUGGGUGUCAUCACCGUGCGUUUAUCACAUUGUAUUAUAUUAAAGGUGAGUUUGACAUAUUAUAUUACAUUGUAUUAUUUAACGUUUGAUAAGUUGCUUUUGACUGUAUUAUGUUAACAUUAUAUUAUAUUAAUGUUAUAUAAUAUUUGAUAUUAUACUGUACUAUAUUAAUUUUUAUUUAUUUUAUGUUUGGUGUUGCAUUGCAUGGCAUUAUAUUAAUUGUUUUGGUGAAAAAUUUAGAUUACAAGUUGGGAAAAAAAUAUUAAUUAGUACUUAGAAAAAAAUGAUAAAGUAGAUGUUGUAAAUUUUAUAAUUUUUUACAUCAAUUAUAUUUUAGUAUAAAUGCAAAAGAUAUCACAAUUCUUUUGAAUAUAUGUAAAAUUAAAAAAUUCUAAAAUUUUUUGUGUGUAUAUAUACACACACAGGAGCAGUUCUCAAAUAUAUAUCUUGUGAAAUAAAGAUCAAAGAAAAUAAUUCAAUCAAAUAAUCUCUAAAAAUUAUCAUAACAUAAAUAAAUAGAUAAAAGCCAUCUCAUGAUAAAGAUGACAACAAAAGAAUUUACAUAUACCACAACAAACUAGAACCCUAAUCACUAAAUAAAAUGGAUUGAACAAUGCACCAAACUCAGUUCAAUUUAUAGCUGGAGGACGUUCUAAUUCUGUUGGUUCUUCCAGGGCUCUGGCUCACUGGUGGUGCCAUAAGCCCCUAUGGACGGGCCCUCUUCAUGAUGUUACACACAUCACAGAAAUUAAAUUCAGCUGAGAAGUGGGAUGGGUUGGUAAUGGCACAUGAACUGAUCUGGGAAAAAUUUUAUCACGGAUGAUAGAUGGAAGUGACCCCAGAUUGCCAUUUGGAUACAUCAAACUGGAAGAGGUCCUUGACUUACGUUAAUUUCUUCGGUUUGUUAAAUGACAAUCCUAUUCUUCUGUCAUUUAUUCUGCAUUGUUGUGUUGAAAUUCCAUGUAGCUGGUGAUUUUUCUAACUUCAUUAGAUGGCAAGCCGUGCAAAGAUUAAUUCUCCUUCCUUAGAGACCAUGAUGAGCGCCAUGCAAAAGGUAUUCUUGCAGUAGACUCUUUAAAGUGUUUAUUACAUACCAAGCCUUUGUGUCAUAUGAAGGAUUGAUAUCUUGGGAAAGCUGUAAAAUAAGGCAGCUAUUCUUCCCUCAACUGGGCAUAAAGAAACGAUGUCCACAGCUCCAUUCUGCAUUUCCUUGUAUGACCAUGCCUAGUGACUAUUGCAGGAGGGAUACGUAGCAAGUAGGUCACACAUUGCUUCCAAUGCAAUCAAGACAAAUUGUCCCAUGGUAGUAUGCAUCAGGAUUGCCAAGGAACUUCAGGGCUGCCAAAAAACAUAGGCUAAGUGAUGUUGGUAUGGACAAGACUGGCAGCAGAAGCCAUGCCUAGCUUUUCCGGAAGCAAUCAGAAUUUAGCGAUGUAACUGCGUCUCCGUAGACAGGAGUUGACUGCCCAUAUGCACCCAAGGGAUACAAAUAUUUUUUUUUUAGGCCAACUGCAAGAUUUUGAACGGAACGAAGGCCGCAAUGAAUUAUGAAAAGGGUGGAUUAAAAUGAUUUUAAUUAUAUUGACUUGGAAGAAACCGAUUCCUGAGUUUCAGUAAAAAAUCAUGAAUUGAUUUUAAUAUAGUUUCAUACAAGGUAUACUUUGACGCAAUUAUCACCGAUUAACUAAUAUAACAUAAUUAAAUUUAAAGUCAUUUUGUUUAAAUAAAUCAAUACACAUCAUAGCUGAAAAUAUAGACUUAGGAUUCUUUCCUAGUCUUUUUUUUUUCCCUCUCGUAGUCUCUCUCAAUAUUCCAAUUCUAGUUAAAAAAAAAUUGACUUAAUAGUAAACAAAGUGAAACAAGUCUGCCUAAAUUAUUAACAUUAAAAUUCAAAAAAUUCAAGAGUCAAGACUACUCAUUUUAGAGGCUAUUAGAGAAAAAAGAUUUGAAGAGGGUUCACGUUCAAAAAUAUAAAUAAUACAUCAUACAAGAUCCUUAAACAUUAUUUGAUAUGUCAUUACAUUUAUAAAUGACAAGUCAUUCAAUUUUCACUCUAGAGUAAAGAUUAUACAAAAUGUUAUCUGCCAUAAAAUUAUAAACAACAUAUACCGUAUCUGACGAAUUUCAAACAAAUAAUUUAACUCCAAGUAAGAAUCAACAACAUUUUACCUAUUUAGUAUCUUAAUUUCUUUUGAAUUCCAACUGAAAUAACAUUUAUUUAUUAAAUGGUAAAUUAAAAAUUUCAUGAGUUAUGAAGUUCAUCAUAAUGAGUCAUAUAAUAUUGAGAGUCAAGUUGAAACUCAAAUAUUAAAACUCCUAAAUUAGCUAACAUAAAAUUAAGAAACUCAUUAAAUAUGUAUAAAUGUUUAUAAUUAACUUAUUUUGCAGCUAAUUUUUCCAACUUGAAAACAUGUUAAUUCCAAAGGUCCCUUAAGAUGAAGAUUCCUAAUUUCACCUUAACCUUGGUGUGACAGUAAGCUUGACUUGAUAACCUUAAAAGGGUUAACAACUAGAGCCUAUCAAACUUAAUGGAACAAGUGUGAAAUACCUUCUCAAUAUACUGAAAUGAAUUCCUACCACUACAAAAUUUUAUAAUUGUCAUUGAAAUUAAAAAUCCCAAAAUUUUAACAAUAAUUCUUAAGACUUUGAAAAAGAAUAAGCGGGAAACAUUGAAACUUCCUACACAAAAUUCAAGUGCUUGUAGGUAUCUAAAACCAUAAUAGCAGAUUAAGAAUGGAAUAGACUUCAUGGGCGAACUGGAACUCCGAUGGCUGGGCGUGGCGCUUGACCAGGCUGACCAGGCUUUGGCAAAUCAUCCUGAAUGAAAAGGAAAAAAAAGAAAAAAUAUAUAUAUAUAAGAGCCAAUGAAGAAAAUUUUCAAGUACGCAAGCACAAAUGAAGACCAUAUAAAACUGACAAGCUUAACCAUUUUUCAAAUGCUACAGAAAUCACACAGCAACUAUCCCAAGACCAAAAACAUCCUCAAUUUGGGCUUUUAGUUCCCGGUAAAACAAAUGAAAAAGCUACCACACAGAGACAUAACACUGUCUCCUUUUUUUCCUCACCCCCCCCCCCCCCCCCUCUCUCUGCGGCUAACCCAGAAGUAAGCUUUUUUAACAGGCUGAAUGAGGAUAUUACUACUGGCAAGGAAAUCCUUGUGAUAAAACAGACUAGGUAAGUGGUCUAUCUGCCUACAUCUAUAAACCAUAAAUCAUUCUAAAAAUCAAUAUGAACAGAGAGCAUUAGCCAAAACCCUGAUUAAAAAAUCUCAAUAGAAACAUGCAAAAGAUACCCUGCGUCUCAUAAAACGCUUUGGUGGUUCACGGUUCCUGCGGUCAGUGCGCGAGCGAACCCUCACCACAUGCGAGUGAAUUGCACAGGAGACACAGUACUGCAUCUUUGCAUACAACUUAGGCAGAACAUAGUCUGCAUCAAAUAUAAAAGAUUCCCAUUAUUUCCCAUUCAAACAAUACAUAAUUAAUUACAAAAUAAGAGAAAUAAUAACAUGUGUACUAGAUAUUUACUAUCAUAGAUGCAGGCAUCCUGCACGUCUCUGACAGCAGCUUGCUCAACAAUGUUCCUCACAAGGAACCUCUUGAUGGCCUUGUCCUUUUCAUCCAUUCACAACCCAAAAUUAAAAAAAAAAAAAUUGUGUCAAAUUACAAUAAACAAAAGGCAUAUAAAUUAAUUUUUAAAUGCAAACUUAACAUCAUUACAACAACUCUAGUCUAGUCUAACUGUAUGAUUUGACCAAUACAUCCGCAGAAUUUAUCAUGACACAAGUUUACAAAAAAUAUGGAAUAACUGAAAAAAUGAAUCUUCUUUCCCGUAAUGCCACACAAUUGCCUCAUUUGGGGGGGCAAAAUUCUCAAUGUUCUUGAUUUUUAUCAAAAUGACCAAAACAAAACAGGGAACCAUGUAAUACUAAUAAUAAUAAAAAAGAUACAAUUUUAGUUAAUUAAAGCGAUACAAAAAUCAAAACAAAAUGCAUACUUUGGGGCAGCAUUUGCCGCAGUUGGAGCAGCGGAUGAAGUUGACGUGGCCACGGCCGUGCUUGUUGCGGCCGCCGUUCCGGCGCUUGAAGGUCUGUCAUAGAAAAAAAAAUAUAAUAAAUCAAAUUUAUAUUAAAUAAAAACAAUUCUUUUUUUUUCAAUAAGAAUAUUUUUGGAAAUCAGAAAGAUAAAAUAUUUUCGCAAACCAUUCUGUUUUCUUAAAGGGAUGAAGGCGGCGACAGGCGAGAUUUGGUUGUUUGCUCGACUCAAAGUGCGGCAGGGCUUCUGAAAGUACAAGUUACGCGGCACUUUUAUACGGAGGAGUGACUUUCCAUAAUUGCGAAUUGAGGCCUCUUUUUUAUAAUAUUUUCACAUUGCCCCUAUUAUCUUGGAUGGUGAGGAUUGGAUUAUGAUUAUAGAUAAGUAAAUUCGGACGGACCGUUUGAGACUUAACGAGAUAAUGAUAGAUUUUUAAAAAAAUUAAAAUUUGAUCAUAUUUUAUAAAGGUAAAUAGUUAUUUUUAUUUUUAAAAAUUUAAUAAAUAACUAUAUUUGAUCUCUUUUUAUUUCUUUCGCCAACCUCCAUCACUCAGUUAAACUUAUGAUAAAUUUUUAAAUAAUUUGCUAUCUCUCAACAUAAUUCAAUACUCAUAAUAUACCAUUAGUCGAGACCUACUGUGAUCUUCGAAUACCAGAUAAUUUAAUACACUAAAAAAAAAAUACCAUUAUCAUCAGUUCAAUCCUUUUACACACACUCUUUCAACUUCUGCCAACUCUAUAUCUCCAGCAAAAGAAGUAGUGAUGAUCUCCCCUUUGCAAUUUUUGACAACCAUGUCUAAAGCCCAACCAUCAUUCCUUCUGAAGUUGAGAUUGCUGCACGAGUGAAAAAGAAUAUUGAAAUUGAAUUAUUAAUUUGGAAGAAUUUCACAACACAAUUAAACAGUUAUUGAAUGUAUUUGAGUCAUUUGACCGUAUAUUUUUUUGUUAAAAAAAACCCAUAUCUAGGUUCAGUUACAAAAGCCAAAUCUCUCAAAUCAUGUGUCUAGAUUCAAGGACCACAAACAAGAGAUUCCAAGAACUUGUUAACACCCUUUUAGAAAACUUGAUUUUGGAUUUUCAUGCUUGGACAAUGGCUUCUUGGAUUCCUCUCCAGUGACUCCAAUUUUGUCAUACAAUUGAUUGAAAUUGAAUGGCUAAUGCUCGAUUGAUACUCUUAAGUCUUAUCGAGAUUUUGAGCCCGGCAUAGUUUAGGAGUUUUAUAAGUUUAAAAAAUGGGGUGGCUGAAAAAUAGGCUGAUGAAGAAUUUAAACAAAAAAAAAAAAAGUUCGAAUAUCACUCAAAUUUAAUUCUUUUUUAUUUAAAAAAACUGAUGAUUUUUAUUUAAAAGAAUAAUAUUAAGUCCCUCAAGUUUUUUAUUUUUAACUAUUUGUAUCUUUUCUUUAAAACUUAUUAUACUCAUAAGAUAUCAACAGUCAAUAUUCAAAAUAACUUUUUCUAAAUAUCAAAACAAUCAUCAUAAUCAUUAUUAUUAUUAUUUCGUGUAAUAUAGUUAAAGGGACAAAAAUCUAAGGGUGAAAUAAAAGUGGUAUUUAAUAGAAUUUAUAUAAUGACAAAAGCCAAGUGGACCCAAGUGAUAAAACUGUUUAAUUGAUGGACAGAAGAUCAAUUUUCAUUUGUGUUGCCGACACCACAGUUUGGUUUACGCUUCCCGACCCAUGAUAUAGGAGAAGUCUAUGUUACAGCUUCUGUAAGUAGCAGCAGCCAAUAGGGAACUUCCACGGGUGCUAGAGGAGAGAGAAAGAGGUCCCAAUGCAAGGUGAUGGAAAUGGGAAAGUUCGAAGCUGUUACUUGCAGCUUCUGCACCUUAGCCAUGUCCGGAUAUUCAGGACCAUGCACUUUUGUCAUCCCAGACAAUUUUUCAUAAUUAAAACAAAACAAGUGCUGCGUCCUGUGGCUGAUAUUUAGAGCAAAUGAAGUUUACCAAGUCCUCCCAUAAAAAUAUCAUAUCCCACCAUUUUCUCCAACCAUUUUAAAGGUUGAAAUUACAAGAGAAGUCGUAUCAUAUCUAUGUACUAUGUUUAUCACAAUUGUUUGGCAACCACCAAAUUCGCCGUAUAAAGUCAUUGAUUAAUCAGAAAAAUAUACCAUCGUCGAAAACUUCGCCAUUGUGGCCCCUGAUGUAUAAAACUGACCAUAGGAUUAGCAAAGGUUUGUCAGCUAGCGGAACUUACGUGUACGUCAUGCACACUUAAAUGUUAUCUAUAUACUGUGUAGGCAUUGCUCUGACGUAACCUCUUCAUUCAGAGUCCCCGAGUCAGCUGCAAGGGAAUGGCCAUGAAUAAUCUUUCAGCAGAAUCAACUGUUGCUGCAGCAAUUUCAGCCUUAGUGAUAUUCCUCUCAAUUUUCCUAUUGAUUUCAAGAAAUGGGCAAAAAAGGACACUCAAGAAGAAGCAAGCUCAACAAGCACCGGAAGCAGGGGGAGCAUGGCCUUUGAUAGGCCACCUACAUAUCUUACGAGGGUCAGAGCCAGCUCACAGAGUUUUGGGCAACAUGGCUGACAAAUAUGGACCGAUAUUCACUAUGAAAUUGGGAGUGAAGCAAGCUUUAGUGGUGAGCAACUGGGAAAUUGCCAAGGAGUGUUUUACCACAAACGACAAAGCUUUUGCAGGUCGCCCCAAAACAAUGGCCACGGAGCU